GCCACAUGGAGGCUAAAAGCCCAGCCUGGUGCUGCCGGGCCUGCAGAUGACUCCUCGAUAUGCCGCUUACUAGCUGUGUGACUGCAGACAGGUUCCUUAACCUCUCCGAGCCUCAGUUUUCCCAGUGGUAAAAUGGAGGUGAUAAUAACAGCACAUCUGGCUCAGGAGGUUGUUGUGAGGCCUGAAUGAGUUCAUGGGUGUAAAGGACUAAGGACAGCACCUGGCAUGGACUAAGCAGCCCCUGAGUGUCGGCUGUUGCUCAGGUGAACCAGCUUCCGGGGCUGGAAGCUUGGUGAUAGUAUCUCUCACAAGGCGUUUAUCACAACAGACACCACGGCCGCUGACGACGCCGGGAGAAUGAAUGGCAACCUCUUUUGACUCCACAUCAACAGGUUACUGUCACUGUUGCUUUAAUGAUCUAUUGCCUUGCGACAAACCACCGGAACUCGGGGUUAAAAGCCACAGCCUGUGACCCUGGGCUGCAGGACUCACGUGGUGGCUGCAGGGUGGCUCAGCUCUCAUCCAUGAGGCCUCCCUCCUACCCCGCGAUCUCUCACCACCCUGGAGUCCAGCCCAAGCUUCCAACUUGGUGGCUGGCUCCCAGGAGCACGAGAACGGUCUGAGCUGUUGUCCUGCCCUGAAGGGAGAAAGAGGAACCAGCUUGUUCACCACCCAAGACCCUUCUCUUUCGAACAACCACUUCUGCAGAACAUGUGCCUGUUGCUGGCAAAGGGAGUUACUGAAGUUCUCUUUGUGCUCGUGCUGAAAUUUCAAACAAACCAACAAACAAACUUGAAACUACAAUACUGGGACAUAAUUUUAAAGUAAAGCCUGAAUUUUACCUGGAGCCACAGAAUCAGGAAGGGCUUUGGGACUCUUUCCUUCCAGAUUCUUCAUUGCUCAGGCUGCAGACUGCAUCCAUGGGGGAAGUGACAGUGUCACAGUCUGUAAGUGGCCAGGCUGGGACCAGGUUUUGUGUGGGCUGGCUCUCAAUCCAGGCUCCUCAAGACCAGGCAAAGCUGAAUUUUCUACCUAACCUGGUACCCUGAGUCAUCAGAUACGAAGGAGAAUGUGUGGGGGUGUGAAACCAUAUGCUUGUCAACAUCAUAUUUUUUAAUGUAUUUGACAUUUUAGAAAUACUGGAGAUUUAAAUUCUUCAGACAGUUUUUUUUAAUCUGGUGAUUUAAAAUGUAACAACUUAAGUUUUAACCCUAGGUGUUAAAUUUCCUCUCUGAGCCCUGCAGCCUGGUCCACUGUCCCGAAUCCAUGAGAGGAGGAGCUGAUACAGAAGCAAAGACACCUGCCAUGUGGUCCCACAGGAUAGCUGCUCACCCCUGUGUUUCUGUACUGUAUGAACCUAAACAAUUUUUACAUCUGAGAUCUUUUCACUUUUCUAAUAACACCAGUAAACAUAAAUCAAGAAUCCUAAGUACAUUAUGUCAGCAUUUGGAAGCCAUCUAAAGUGCCCACCACAAAAACCAGCAGAAAAUUAAGAUGAGCGAGAAAGAGAAAGAGUUAAAAACAACUGUCUCUAGGGGAAAACGAGUCCAGGAGUUCAGAAACAUGCCUUGCGAGAAACUAGUAUAUUUAAGAAAAGACGGGAUUUUCCAGCCACUGGUACAU
rnacentral:lncRNA from 1 species